AUUGAACGCUGGCGGCAUGCCUUACACAUGCAAGUCGAACGGCAGCACGGGUGCUUGCACCUGGUGGCGAGUGGCGAACGGGUGAGUAAUACAUCGAAACAUGUCCUGUAGUGGGGGAUAGCCCGGCGAAAGCCGGAUUAAUACCGCAUACGAUCUACGGAUGAAAGCGGGGGACCUUCGGGCCUCGCGCUAUAGGGUUGGCCGAUGGCUGAUUAGCUAGUUGGUGGGGUAAAGGCCUACCAAGGCGACGAUCAGUAGCUGGUCUGAGAGGACGACCAGCCACACUGGGACUGAGACACGGCCCAGACUCCUACGGGAGGCAGCAGUGGGGAAUUUUGGACAAUGGGCGAAAGCCUGAUCCAGCAAUGCCGCGUGUGUGAAGAAGGCCUUCGGGUUGUAAAGCACUUUUGUCCGGAAAGAAAUCCUUGGCUCUAAUACAGUCGGGGGAUGACGGUACCGGAAGAAUAAGCACCGGCUAACUACGUG
rnacentral:rRNA from 1 species